rnacentral:rRNA from 1 species
CUCUGUGACUCCUACGGGAGGCAGCAGUCGGGGAAUAUUGCACAAUGGGGGAAACCCUGAUGCAGCCAUGCCGCGUGUGUGAAGAAGGCCUUCGGGUUGUAAAGCACUUUCAGUAGGGAGGAAGGUAGUGUACGUUAACACCUGCACUAUUUGACGUUACCUACAGAAAGAAGCACCGGCUAACUCCGUGCCAGCAGCCGCGGUAAUACGGAGGGUGCGAGCGUUAAUCGGAAUUACUGGGCGUAAAGCGCAUGCAGGCGGCCUGUUAAGUCAGAUGUGAAAGCCCCGGGGCUUAACCUCGGAAUUGCAUUUUGAAACUGGCAGGCUAGAGUCUUGUAGAGGGGGUAGAAUUUCAGGUGUAGCGGUGAAAUGCGUAGAGAUCUGUAAGGAAUACCAGUGGCGAAGGCGGCCCCCUGGACAAAGACUGACGCUCAGAUGCGAAAGCGUGGGGAGCCAAACAGGAUUAGAUACCCCUGGUAG